AUCGCUUCUCGGCUCUCGUAGCUAAGAUCAAAGUGUAGUAUCUGUUCUUAUCAGCUCAAUCUCUGAUAGGGCCCUCAUGUAGGGUCUCAGUAGAUUAUCUGAUUUUUGGGAACAUGGACAGUUGAAGCUCGCUUCUAUCUGUUCACCGGUCGGCUCAGCAUUGCAUUACCGCUGGGAAUGGCCUAUAAACU
rnacentral:snRNA from 1 species